rnacentral:lncRNA from 1 species
GAAAACAUAAAAAUGCCUGUUUCCCUCACCUCUUCCCAGGUAUUUGUUUUAAUUUUCCAUUGUGUAGAUUGGUUUUAAUUUCUUUUAAUAUUUUCAGGUUGCUUUUUCUUUCAUGUGAGACUUGUGUUUUCUUUCUUUUUUUUUUUUUUUUUUUUUUUUUUUUUUUUUUUUUUUUUUUUUUUUUUUUUUUUUUUUUUUUUUUUAGAGACAGGGUUUCACUGAGUUGCUUAGGGCCUCAUCAUUGCUGAGGCUGGCUUUGAACUUGUCAUCCUCCUGCCUCAACCUCCUCAGUUGGGGGAUUAUAGGCAUGCACCACUAUGCUGGGCUUCUUCUUCUUCUUCUUCCUCUUCCUCUUCUUCUUCUUCUUCUUCUUCUUCUUCUUCUUCUUCUUCUUCUUCUUCUUCUUCUUCUUCUUUUGGAGGGGGGGGGGCAACUGAACAGCCAAAAUGUCUAUGUCUUUAUCCCUAAAACCUGCAAAAGUGAGAUUGUGUAUUCUUAUGUGGCAAAAGGGAUUUGACGAUGUGAUUAAUUUUAAGGACCUUGAAACAGGAAUUGUUUAGGUGAAUUCAUCAACAAUAGGCAUCUGUAUUUGCUCAUAUGAAAAUAUAAGCAAAUACAGAGCCUGCCUAUGCUAUCUGAGAGACAAGUGUGAGAGCAGAAGCAGGGCUGGAGAGAUGCUAUAUAUCGCUGGCUUUGAAGAUAGAGGGAGGCUACAAACUAAGGAUUAUGGGUAACUUCUAUAACUUGAAAAGGCAAGAUUUUUUUUUUUUCCCCUAGAACCCUACAGAAAGGAGUCUAGCCCGGCUCAUUCCUUGAUUUUAGCCUAGUGAGACCUGUGUCAGUCUUCUGACCUGAAUACUGUAAGAUGAUAAAUUUGUGUUGACAAGGUGGUAAGAGGGUAAACUAAGUUUGUGCUAAUUUGUUAUGACAGCAAUAGAUAAUAAAUAUAGUCCUGCUGUUAAAACUGUUAAAAGAAUUUAAAGCUAUAUCACUUACAUUAGUAUACAAAUUUAUUUAUUUUUUUAGUUGUUGAUGGGCCUUUGUUUUAUUUAUUUAUAUGUGGUGCUGAGAAUCGAACCUAGUGCCUCACACAUGUGAGGCCAGCACUGUACCACUGAACCAUGACCCCAGCACAUAAAAUUGUUUUUAAAAUAUUUUUUUAGUUGUUGAUGGACCUUUAUUUUAUUCAUUUAUUUAUAUGGAGUGCUGAGAAUUGAAUCCAGUGCCUCAUACAUGUAAAUCAAAUGCUCUACUUCUGAGCCACGACCCCAGCCCUAUACAAAAUAUUUUAAAAUUUUAUAUAAUGCAUGAUUCUCGAGAAGGUGCCUAUGGAUCUUUAGUGUUCUUGAGUCCCAGAAUGGGAAACUUUUUUUAUGUUUACAUUUAAAAAGAAGUAGACUGGAGGGCCCAUAGAUUGUUUUCAGGGCGGGGGGGUUUGUUGGGGUGAACUUGUAAGUUCCUUAAUUGCUUCAAUUUUGUUUUGAAGCAAUUCAUUAAGGAAACAGGUAUCUUUUUGUGAAACAGAUAUCAUUUUGCAAAACAAGUAUCUUUUCCCAUGGGCCCAACCACUUUCCUUUAUAGAGAUUUAAACUCAUCACCCCUCAGUACUUGGGUUAUCAGUAGUAGCCUCUCUAUGAUACAUAUUUUGCAAUGCAUUCUGUAAUCACAAGAACUUAUGUCUUUCUUUCAUAAUUUAGGAUUUUCCUGUUUAGGAGUAAAAGAGCAGAUUGGUUUAUUUGCAGUGAGAUUCUUCUAUCUAAUAAAAAUGUAGCUAGUUUUUCUUAGUAAUACUUUGAACUGUAGCUAUGUUAUCUCUUGGAAUAUUUCACUUGUAUCAUGUGGAAAAAUAAGCAUUUCAUUCAUACAGUGUUAUUUGUCUUCUGCCCAUCUAAAUUCAUUGAUAAUAAAAAAAAAAACGAGAGAGAGAUUGAGAGAAAGAUUAUAUAAUAGGUCAAGAAAGGAUCUUGAGAGGUCAUCUCUUUCAUUAGAAAGGACUGUAUCUACAGAAUUCUGAACAGAUAAAUAUAUAUCCUAGGGAUGGAAAUGGAAUUUUUCUCCCCCUAAGGGAGCCUUAAAUAUAUUUCAGUUAUCUCAUUUGCAUGAGUCAUUUACAUUGAUUUCCAUGAGCCAUUCCUAGGUCUGUAUUCUUCAUAUAACCCUUGACUUAACAAAACCCUUCUCCCUCUCUUUCUCUCUCUCUUCCCCUUAUUUAUUAUUCAUUUGAUUCAUAUCAAGGGCCUAUGCUGGGAAUGGUUCCAUGCAAGGCAUUAUGAGAAUCUCUGAGAAAUAAAGCACACAGCCCUAUUCCAAAGAAAUGACAGUCUCUUGGGGAAGCCACAGUGUGGACCUAAGUCCUAAAUGACUACGCAAGAAGUGUUUAUGAGACACCGCCUAAUGAUGGGUUAAUGAAGGAUGAUAACAAUAGAUAAAGUGUGAACAAUGGUGAUGACGGAAUAGACAACUGUCAAGGACCUACUCUAUCUAAGGCCCCUGUGUAGGUUAUCUCUUAAUUCUCAGCAAACUUUUGAAAGGGAUAUCUCUAUCCCUGUUUAUAAAAUUACAAAAUGGAGCUUAGUAAUAAAAUGGGCUCAGAUUCUUCUGAGCCUAAACCCCUGCUCCUUGCAUUGGGCCACACUGUCUUUGACAGGCUAUCAUGGAAGGAAACACUCUGUGAACUGAAAUGUUCUGGAAGGACUUAGCCAUGCUUAGAUCCAUUCAUUGAGCAUUUUCUCUGUUCCAGGUUCAUCCUCCCGUACUAUAAAAUGAGGAAAUGGAGCUACAGGGAGGCUAAUUUGCCUGAGGACACAUGUUAAGUUACGGGUAGAGCCAGAUUAUGGAUUCACAUGGUCUCAUUCCAGUGCAACACUGCCUCCUUGGUACUGUGUGGCCAACAGGGUUAUAAUACUGAGUGGCAUAAGAAGAGCUUCUCAGCCAUUACAGAAAAACAUGGAGAGAAAACAGUAAGUGAUACCACAAAGUAUAACUAUUCUGAUUGAGGAAGUAGCAUGCUGUGGGAAUACAGAAAAAGGGUUUCUAACUCAGACAAGAAAGAACCUGGACUUGCUUCUCUAAGGAAUGACCCAAACCUGUGGGGCCAUUUUGAGAUGACAGCCAGGUGAAAAAGAAAAGAGCCUGAGCAAUUGGGUGGCAAAAUGGUAGCUAUACCUUAAUUUGGUGGUGGGUUCAGGAAUUGGCUAAUUUCUUUUAUUACCCAUUCAAGAUACCCACUGGUUAUCCCUUAACUUCACUGAGAUCUUGAGUCAGUUGGCACGUUCUUAUUGAGGUCUUUCCUAACAAGUUUAUUUAAAAUGACACCACCAAUUUCUCUUCAAGACAUCUUUAUUCUCCACGAUAUCUAACUGACCACAUUAUUUAUUUAUUGUUUUUUUAAUCGCCUAUUUGCUUCAUAGCAUAGUUUUUUAAAAAUUUGUUUGUUUGUUUUUGUUUCCUGUUUUGUCUUCUGUAUCUCAAGCACCUGGGACAGCACUGACAGUGUGGUGGCCACUCUGUGAAUACUUGCUGAUCGAGUAAUGAAUGGAGUGAUUCACCUCUCCACAGACUCCUGACUUCUUGACUGCUGUCCCAUGUGAAUCAGGAGCUCUCACUGGGAGUUACCAAAGUUCUGACUCCAUCAUGCUCUACUGCAGAGGUUCUGGGAGCCCUCAGGCCAUGUGAGAGCCCUCACACCUCUUAAAAGACUUUUCUUCAUCACCCUAAACUCUAAAGAGUUGUAGCCAACUUUUGGGGGCAGAGGAUCUUAGCUUUAGUUUCCACCUAUCACCAGCAUGUUGGCAAACUUUUUUCCUUGACCAAAUUUUAUUUAUUUUUUAUUUUUUAUUUUUUUUAAAUUUUUUAUUAUUAGUUGUUCAAAACAUUACAUAGCUCUUGCCAUAUCAUAUUUCAUACAUUUGAUUCAAGUGGGUUAUGAACUCCCAUUUUUACCCCGUAUACAGAUUGUAGAAUCACAUCGGUUACACAUCCACGUUUUUACAUACUGCCAUACUAGUGUCUGUUGUAUUCUGCUGCCCUUCCUAUCCUCUGCUAUCCCCCCUCCCCUCCCCUCCCCUCCCAUCUUCUCUCUCUACCCCAUCUACUGUAAUUCAUUUCUCUCCCUUGUUUUUUUCCCUUUCCCCUCACUUCCUCUUAUAUGUAAUUUUGUAUAGCAAUGAGGGUCUCCUUCUAUUUCCAUGCAAUUUCCCUUCUCUCUCCCUUUCCCUCCCACCUCUCAUCCCUGUUUAAUGUUAAUCUUCUUCUCAUGCUCUUCGACCCUACUCUGUUCUUAGUUACUCUCCUUAUAUCAAAGAAGACAUUUGGCAUUUGUUUUUUAGGGAUUGGCUAGCUUCACUUAGCAUAAUCUGCUCUAAUGCCAUCCAUUUCCCUGCAAAUGCCAUGAUUUUGUCAUUUUUUAGUGAAAAGUAAUACUUCAUUGUGUAUAAAUGCCACAUUUUUCUUAUCCAUUCUUCUAUUGAAGGGCAUCUAGGUUGGUUCCACAGUCUAGCUAUUGUGAAUUGUGCUGCUAUGAACAUCGAUGUAGCAGUAUCCCUAUAGUACUCUCUUUUAAGGUCUUCAGGGAAUAGUCCGAGAAGGGGAAUAGCUGGGUCAAAUGGUGGUUCCAUUCCCAACUUUCCAAGGAAUCUCCACACUGCUUUCCAAAUUGGCUGCACCAAUUUGCAGUCCCACCAGCAAUGUACAAGUGUACCCUUUUCCCCACAUCCUCGCCAGCACUUGUUGUUGUUUGACUUCAUAAUGGCUGCCAAUCUUACUGGAGUGAGAUGGUAUCUUAGGGUGGUUUUGAUUUGCAUUUCUCUGACUGCUAGAGAUGGUGAACAUUUUUUGACCAAAUUUUAGUUAGGCUCCUUUGAACCCUCUGCUUGCUUGGCCUCAACCUUGGCCUGUUGUAUCCAGUUUCAGGAUAAUGUAUGUAAUUUGGAAUUACAUACGUACAUGUAUGUAAUUUCCAAAUUAUGUAAUUUGUAAUAUUAAUCCUGCCACGUCACUUUAGCAAGAAUCCCCCACUCUUAGUAAUCUUUGUCUACUGACUUCCUUACUCUUUUUCUUGGCUAUAAAAUUCCUAACUAUCUUUGUUGUAUUGGAAGUUAAAUCCAAUCUCAAUCCCCAAUUGCAGUAGUCCUGAAAAACGUCUCCUUUGCUGCUUUUAUCAAAUGUCCUGUGCUAUUUUUUUUUUAAACAGCAUUCUCUUGGAUUUCUUCUUUCUUUUGAAAAAGUUUAUUUCUAGAUCUUUUUGUCCAGUCAGUCCUUUGGGCUCACCCCUGUGGUACAUUCUUCUGCCAUGGUGUUUGUUAUGUCAACAUUGAACAAUGUACUUUACUUUCUCUUAAACUAGUAAGACCUUUGGCACUUUGUUAACUAAACAUAUUUAAGUCCACUAGAAAGGUUUAAUAUAUCAUAGCCACAAGAUAUAUCCUAUGUUGUCUCAGUUUGUAAGCUUAUAUUAUUUUCUCAGUCCAUUUUACAAACAUAAGUUGGAAGUUGGUCCUUUGCUUCUCUUUUUAAAUCUAAAUUAGAGGUGGUGAAACAAGGGAUAUUGCCUACUCCCUAAGAUUGUUAUUGCAAAGGAAUAUAAAGACACUGGAGGUAGGAGAAAUUCAGAGGGGGGGGCGGGGGAAGAGAUGGAGUACUGAAUAGAAUGAGCAUAUUAGGAGUCUGACCAAGAAUCUGCAGAACAAGAUGGUUGCUCCAACCGUCCCUCAUGGAGAUGUCAAAGAGAUUUGGAAUUCUGUUGUUCUGGUGAGGUGCUACUAAUGUGAAAAGAGUUUGAUCAUGGUUAUCAGGGGACUUUGGAAACAGGUUUUGGAUUCACUGACUAAUGGGUAAAGUCUGUCCAUGUAGUACUGUGAUGGUCCUUCUGCCAGGAGAGAAAAUGUAUACCAUCUCAGAACUGGAAAGAACACUUCAGGUAGAUAUCAAUGAUUUUGCCUGCCUGACGUUAUUGGACCAGGAUUUUGUACAAUGAUGGCCAUGCCUAGAAGAGGCCAAGAAGACCAAGAUCAGAGUAGAUACAUGCUCCUAGCUAUCACUUCCAUGCUAACCUCAUUCCAGUCCUUGGACGCAGGCAAGCUUUAUUUGAAAUUUCCUGGCUGCAGAAGCAACGACUUAAGGUUCUUUUUAGAUGGUCUUUUUUCCCCUUCAGUAUCAAUUGAGAGAAAAAAAAAAGAGUCUUUCCAUCAGUUGGGUAUUUCCUUGAUAUUUGAGCAGACAAUUAACAUGAAAUUCCUGAAUGCCAAAUAUGUAAUUUGGAAUAAGAUAUUAAAGAGGAUUUCAACAGUGUCAUAACUGUUGAAUUUCAGUGUAACUAUUUCCAUGUGUUCCUACUGAUGAAUCAACCUAUAUUCAUUUGUUUCAUUAAAAGCAUUUUUUUUCUUUUCACAGUUGUGUUGUUUUUGUAUUACAUUUGUGUUUCUCCUCAUCAUACCACAUAAAAUCUCCUAUUUCCCAAGAGAGCUCAUGAAUGAGAAAAAAGAGGGUGCAAAGCCAAGAAGGGUUGAAUACAGUCAGUUGGACACAGCGCCAGGACUCUCCUCCCG